UACAGAAGUAGAAUUCGAACC
ensembl:piRNA 21ur-5324 ncRNA